rnacentral:misc_RNA from 1 species
GGGAAAAUGAUCAAAUACUCCUGAAGCACUAAAAAUCAAUGCUCCGUACACUCACAAAAAAUCAGUUAUCCUUGAAGGCGCUAUGAAAUUGUGAGUGAAGGUACGUGUACUGGAAGCACCUAAUAAUUUCUCACAAUGACGACAGUAACAUACUAAAUAAAUUCAUGAUUCCAAAUGAGUUGCCAUCUUGUUUUGGAAAUGCGGUGGCUUUCCCAACAUCAAGAUAUGACUAAGAAGAAAACAAAAAUCACCACACUGAGUAAAUCUAAU